UGUAUUCACUACUGUAAGUCGCUCUGGAUAAGAGCGUCUGCUAAAUGAUUAAAA
rfam:Salmo salar isolate Sally breed double haploid chromosome ssa13, whole genome shotgun sequence.